rnacentral:rRNA from 1 species
GGGGAAUAUUGCACAAUGGGGGAAACCCUGAUGCAGCAACGCCGCGUGAAGGAAGAAGGUUUUCGGAUCGUAAACUUCUAUCAACAGGGACGAAGAAAGUGACGGUACCUAACAAGAAAGCCCCGGCUAACUACGUGCCAGCAGCCGCGGUAAUACGUAGGGGGCAAGCGUUAUCCGGAAUUACUGGGUGUAAAGGGAGCGUAGACGGUAAAGCAAGUCUGAAGUGAAAGCCCGGGGCUCAACCCCGGGACUGCUUUGGAAACUGUUUAACUAGAGUGCUGGAGAGGUAAGCGGAAUUCCUAGUGUAGCGGUGAAAUGCGUAGAUAUUAGGAGGAACACCAGUGGCGAAGGCGACCUACUGGGCACCAACUGACGCUGAGGCUCGAAAGCAUGGGUAGCAAACAGGAUUAGAUACCCUGGUAGUCCAUGCCGUAAACGAUGAUUACUAGGUGUUGGAGGAUUGACCCCUUCAGUGCCGCAGUUAACACAAUAAGUAAUCCACCUGGGGAGUACGACCGCAAGGUUGAAACUCAAAGGAAUUGACGGGGGCCCGCACAAGCAGUGGAGUAUGUGGUUUAAUUCGAAGCAACGCGAAGAACCUUACCAGGUCUUGACAUCCGAUGCAUAGUGCAGAGAUGCAUGAAGUCCUUCGGGACAUCGAGACAGGUGGUGCAUGGUUGUCGUCAGCUCGUGUCGUGAGAUGUUGGGUUAAGUCCCGCAACGAGCGCAACCCUUAUUGCCAGUUACUACGAAAGAGGACUCUGGCGAGACUGCCGUUGACAAAACGGAGGAAGGUGGGGAUGACGUCAAAUCAUCAUGCCCUUUAUGACCUGGGCUACACACGUACUACAAUGGCGUUUAACAAAGAGAAGCAAGACCGCGAGGUGGAGCAAAACUCAAAAACAACGUCUCAGUUCAGAUUGCAGGCUGCAACUCGCCUGCAUGAAGUCGGAAUUGCUAGUAAUCGCGGAUCAGCAUGCCGCGGUGAAUACGUUCCCG